rnacentral:tRNA from 1 species
GGGAGUAUAACUCAAUUUGGAAGAGUAAUUAGUGUUUUUUAGUACUGAUAGUUGUAGGUUCAACUCCUACUACUCCUA